UACAGAGGGUGCAAGCGUUGUUCGGAAUUAUUGGGCGUAAAGCGCGUGUAGGCGGCUUUGCAAGUCGGGUGUGAAAGCCCUCAGCUCAACUGAGGAAGUGCGCCCGAAACUGCAGAGCUUGAGUACCGGAGAGGAUGGCGGAAUUCCCCAAGUAGAGGUGAAAUGCGUAGAUAUCGGGAGGAACACCAGUGGCGAAGGCGGCUACCUGGCCCAUUCUUGACGCUGAGGCGCGAAAGCUAGGGGAGCAAACGGG
rnacentral:rRNA from 1 species